UACGUAGGGUGCAGGCGUUAAUCGGAAUUACUGGGCGUAAAGCGUGCGCAGGCGGUUUCUUAAGUCAGAUGUGAAAGCCCCGGGCUUAACCUGGGAACUGCGUUUGAAACUGGGAGACUUGAGUGUGGCAGAGGGGGGUGGAAUUCCACGGUGUAGCAGUGAAAUGCGUAGAUAUGUGGAGGAACACCGAUGGCGAAGGGCAGCCCCCUGGGCCGACCCUGACGCUGAGGAGCGAAAGCGUGGGGAGCGAACAGG
rnacentral:rRNA from 1 species